GACGAACGCUGGCGGCGUGCUUAACACAUGCAAGUCGAACGGAAAGGCCCUGCUUUUGUGGGGUGCCCGAGUGGCGAACGGGUGAGUAACACGUGAGUAACCUGCCCUUGACUUUGGGAUAACUUCAGGAAACUGGGGCUAAUACCGGAUAGGAGCUCCUGCUGCAUGGUGGGGGUUGGAAAGUUUCGGCGGUUGGGGAUGGACUCGCGGCUUAUCAGCUUGUUGGUGGGGUAGUGGCUUACCAAGGCUUUGACGGGUAGCCGGCCUGAGAGGGUGACCGGCCACAUUGCGACUGAGAUACGGCCCAGACUCCUACGGGAGGCAGCAGUGGGGAAUAUUGCACAAUGGGCGGAAGCCUGAUGCAGCAACGCCGCGUGCGGGAUGACGGCCUUCGGGUUGUAAACCGCUUUCGCCUGUGACGAAGCGUGAGUGACGGUAAUGGGUAAAGAAGCACCGGCUAACUACGUG
rnacentral:rRNA from 1 species